rnacentral:rRNA from 1 species
AAAACAACCCUACGGGAGGCAGCAGUGGGGAAUUUUGGACAAUGGGGGCAACCCUGAUCCAGCAAUGCCGCGUGAGUGAAGAAGGCCUUCGGGUUGUAAAGCUCUUUUGUCAGGGAAGAAACGGUAGUAGCGAAUAACUAUUACUAAUGACGGUACCUGAAGAAUAAGCACCGGCUAACUACGUGCCAGCAGCCGCGGUAAUACGUAGGGUGCAAGCGUUAAUCGGAAUUACUGGGCGUAAAGCGUGCGCAGGCGGUUGUGUAAGUCAGAUGUGAAAUCCCCGGGCUCAACCUGGGAAUUGCAUUUGAGACUGCACGGCUAGAGUGUGUCAGAGGGGGGU